AGACUUUGAUUCUGGCUCAGGAUGAACGCUAGCUACAGGCUUAACACAUGCAAGUCGAGGGGAAACGAUAUUGGAAGCUUGCUUCCGAUAGGCGUCGACCGGCGCACGGGUGAGUAACGCGUAUCCAACCUGCCCGCCACUUGGGGAUAACCUUGCGAAAGUAAGACUAAUACCCAAUGAUAUCUCUAGAAGACAUCUGAAAGAGAUUAAAGAUUUAUCGGUGAUGGAUGGGGAUGCGUCUGAUUAGCUUGUUGGCGGGGUAACGGCCCACCAAGGCAACGAUCAGUAGGGGUUCUGAGAGGAAGGUCCCCCACAUUGGAACUGAGACACGGUCCAAACUCCUACGGGAGGCAGCAGUGAGGAAUAUUGGUCAAUGGACGAGAGUCUGAACCAGCCAAGUAGCGUGCAGGAAGACGGCCCUAUGGGUUGUAAACUGCUUUUAUAAGGGAAUAAAGUGAGUCUCGUGAGACUUUUUGCAUGUACCUUAUGAAUAAGGACCGGCUAAUUCCGUGCCAGCAGCCGCGGUAAUACGGAAGGUCCAGGCGUUAUCCGGAUUUAUUGGGUUUAAAGGGAGCGUAGGCCGGAGAUUAAGCGUGUUGUGAAAUGUAGAUGCUCAACAUCUGAACUGCAGCGCGAACUGAUUUCCUUGAGUACGCACAAAGUGGGCGGAAUUCGUGGUGUAGCGGUGAAAUGCUUAGAUAUCACGAAGAACUCCGAUUGCGAAGGCAGCUCACUGGAGCGCAACUGACGCUGAAGCUCGAAAGUGCGGGUAUCGAACAGGAUUAGAUACCCUGGUAGUCCGCACGGUAAACGAUGGAUGCCCGCUGUUGGUCUGAAUAGGUCAGCGGCCAAGCGAAAGCAUUAAGCAUCCCACCUGGGGAGUACGCCGGCAACGGUGCAACUCAAAGGAAUUGA
rnacentral:rRNA from 1 species